rnacentral:misc_RNA from 1 species
CGCAGUAAAAAUCGUCGUUGAGGCGGCUCGUCACCUGCUGUAAUACAAACGGCUUAUGGGUAAAACCCGCAAUAAGCGAAUCAAUGAAUAUCAAAUGAACGGGUCAGUUUACUGGCUCGUUCUUUUUUUCGGCU